GCUGCCCAUUUCUCCGCACCAAACGAGAAGGAGUAGUAGUAGCAUUUUUAGGAAAGAAAAUAAAUCCUCGACAAUGCGGCUCCGAAGAGAAAAAAUAAAAGGGAUGCCCUAACAUCCAAAAACCUAGGGUUUCAACUACGGCCGGAGAUUAAUUUCUUUUCUUAAUCGAUUCCUCUCACUCUCUCGGGGUCGUGUAGGACUCCGAUCUCCUUCAUCGGGGAAUCGAGCUUCACG
rnacentral:lncRNA from 1 species